AUCGUUAUAAACAGUAACACAGUCUAAUACACUGACCUCAUGGUAUGUUUACAUGUUUAUCAGCUGAUAAAUAUGACACUUAUUGGUGUGAAUUGUUGAAUGUGCACUGGAUAAUUGGUCUUUAUAUUCAAUAUGAAACAAUAACUAGCGGCAUCUUAAGAUUAUCGCCAAUCAUAUCAACAGCUUGGUUAUGAAAUGGACGACUUUACGAUACAGAUAGUCCUCAAACCAAAUCUUUGGCAUUAACCAAGCAAGCUGAAGCAGCACAUUGGAAUGUGGUUCUGAUGUCACUGUCAUGCCACUAACUUAGAUUUUAUGAAAACAUUGCUGACCAAAUUAGCCUGGAAAAUGUUAUUCUUAUAGCUCCUGAGCUGCAAGCUUUUAUGAUCAGUUUUAAAGUGAUUAAAAUGUAGCUACCAAAAUAAAGUUGGAUUUACGUGUA